rnacentral:RNase_P_RNA from 1 species
GGGACGGACAGUCGCGGGGUGCAGCCCAACGGCUGCAUCAUGAGGAAAGUCCGGGCUCCACAGGGCAAGGAUAACGGGUAACGCCCGCCCAGAGCGAUCUGAGGAAAAGUGCAACAGAAAUAUACCGCCUCGUCCAUAUACCAACGCAGGAAACCGCAGGAGUGUUUCCUGCAUGCUCCAAAAAGCCGGCAAAGCCCCGCUUUGACGGCAGAGGAGGCGCAACGGAAUGUAUGAGCUUUGCCGCUUGCGGCGAAGCGAAGGAUAUGAAGUUUGCGCCGACGAGGUAAGGGUGGAAACGUGCGGUAAGAGCGCACGCAUCGGCGUGGAAGCGUCCGUUGCUGUAAACUCUAUCCGGAGCAACACCGUGGAGGAAACAAGGCUUGCCCGGCUGUUUCCGAGGAGGUGGCUGGAGCGCACCGGCAACGAUGCGCCUAGAUAGAUGACUGUCGAUUACAGAACCCGGCUUACAGACCCGAUC